GGCUUAGGGAGAUUGAUGACACGUGGAGCCGGUUUGUCGACGGAAGGCACUUGACGUCGAGACCGUCUAGCAGCCGUACACGGUGUGAUGAUCUGGACUCCCAUGACUACCUCUUGAGCUACACCUAUUUAGGGGAAAGAGAAGUUUGAUUUUAAUCCGGCCAAGCCGAACGAGUUCUGGCUUCUUGCACUUCUUAUUCCGAGGGUUGUGGUUGCUGGUCUUAAUUGGAUAUCCAAGAAAAAUUAGCUUAUUCUUUGAGGUCGUCUAAUAUUCUACAAUCAUGGAUUGCGCAACCGUGGCAGUGGUGGUCGCCUCUUAUUGGUUCAGGUGCCACUUUUGGUUUGGUCUGGUGCAGGGCAAGGUGAUGCAUGUGGUGUGGCCGCUCCGCGAGCUGGGCAGAGUUGCUCGCCAAGAUCUCAUCUCCCAAUAAAGCAUGAAUUUUUGGACCUCAACAUCUAUUCCUCUGUUCAA